UAUAACCAGGAAGAGUACAGCUCUUCCUGCCCGUGGGUCCCGUCCUAGUGCUUUAAUAAAAUCACCUUUUUGCA